rnacentral:tRNA from 1 species
GGCCUUGUAGUGGAAAAAAUAUCAGACUGCAAUUCUGAAGAUGCGCUUAGCGCCGAGGCUU